AGUUGCAGUAGUCCGGUGGAAGCCGCACCGGGGCAGACCCCUGACGCUUGAUCACGGGUCUACCUGAAUUUCCAAGACCAUGGGUCCGUGAUCUUCCAGCGGACUUUUAAUCCGUUGGUCACUGGUUCGAAUCCAGUACGUCCUACCA
rnacentral:tRNA from 1 species